UCAGUUUGAACUUCGAACGAACGGGACGAACAACGGUUAGUAGCUCUGACCUGUCCCUCACUGUCGCACGUUUCCAGUUCUCUGUCCUUCGUCCCUCUCCAAAGACGUACCUCCAUCUGCUGGUAAAAUCUUCCAUGCUGUGAAUGCAGUGGCGCCUUCCUUGCUGGGGGGAGAAAUGUCUGAGGCCAGGUGUGUUUCUCAUUACUGGCGGUGACGUGCUUUCUGGGAGGUUCCUGUGGCAUGCAGCACAGGGAGCAGGUGUGUGCAGUGUGUGAAAUCUGAAGACAGAAAGCAGACGUAUACCACAGCGGGGUCGUUCCACUCAGCAGACACUUGUGUGCCCGUCUCCUGCAGCCCCUCAGUAAUUGCAGGACACCCCCAGAGAUGAACCGAGAGGGUUGAGUCAUUAGCAAGCCAGACAGUAAGUGGAGGCUGCAAGCUCCCCUCCAGCUUGCAGCUCGUUCCUACAAAGGUAGUCGGAGUGGACACUUGAAUUGGCCCCAGAUUGAUGAAUAAAAUUAGACUGGGUUCAAAAUGACUGAAA